rnacentral:rRNA from 1 species
AUGGCCGCUUCCAAGGGCAAAGCAUUCCCAUUUAAACAUGUUUGGAAAAUUCUUCAAACUUAUGACAAGUGGAAGUUGAGGGAUCAAGAGACCGCACCCAAGAAGUCGGCAAUGGUUAGGAUGGAUGAUAGUGAAGAGGAGGGAAGGAACGAGCACAAGCCCGCUGGAAACAAGAAGGAUAAGCUAAGGAAGAAGAUGGAAGGAGAGGCGUCAAGCAUAAGGGAGAAGAUAGAACAUAUGAUGAAGUCAAGGGAGGCAUUGACAAUGGAGAGAUUGGAGACAAAGCUUCUUAUCAACGAGAAGAAGAAAGAGGUGAAGCUUGCACAAGUUGAAGCAAGGCGUGAAGAUGCCAAGCGCAAGGCCGACUUGGAGGAGAGGAUGAUCAAGGUCAAAGAAGCAAAGGCAUGGAAAGAACUCAUGGUGGAAGAGAAGGAGCACAUGAUGAUGUCCAAGAAGGACAUGGAUGAAGACCAAUUGAUGUGGUGGAAGGAGUACAAGCAGGACAUCGCGGAGAGGAAGAGGAUAUUCCGUGGUGCGUCCUCUACUCUUCGAGGUACACUCCGAUGA